GCGCCGGUGAUGUAAGGCGUAGCAUCGCUGCGCGGAAAGCAGAAGGUGCGGGUUCGAGUCCCGCCGGGGCGCA
rnacentral:tRNA from 1 species